CUUUCCAGGGCUGUAGCUGGUCUUGGUGUGACUUGAUCGGGCGUUCCUUCUCUUGAUUUGCUGCUCGAACAUAACCGCUUUGUGAAGCAUCUCCUCAAGCUCCACAUAAUGUUGAGUUUCUAAACGAUCUUGGAUUUUUCUGUUAAGACCUCCCAUGGAUCGAGACAUGACCGCUUCUCCAUCUUCUUGAAGAUCGGCUCUUAACAUAAGGGUUUCCAUUUCCUUAAAGUACUCCUCGACGGUCUUGCUUCCUUGAACCAAAUUCCUCAACCGCUGAUGUAGUUCUUGAUGAUAGUAACUUGGCACAAAUCUUUUUCGCAUGACGGCUUUAAGCUGGUUCCAUGUGUCGAUCGGAUAGUCUCCGGCACGUCUUCGGCUAGUGACAAGUUGAUCCCACCAACUUAGGGCAUAGUCGUAGAAUUCAGUAGCCGCAAUUUUAACCUUAUUGCACUCAAGACUUUCUUGACAAAGAAAGACCAACUCAAUUUUCUGCUCCCAUUCCAAAUAAGUAUCCG
rnacentral:lncRNA from 1 species